rnacentral:rRNA from 1 species
UACGAAGGGGGCUAGCGUUGCUCGGAAUCACUGGGCGUAAAGGGUGCGUAGGCGGGUCUUUAAGUCAGGGGUGAAAUCCUGGAGCUCAACUCCAGAACUGCCUUUGAUACUGAAGAUCUUGAGUUCGGGAGAGGUGAGUGGAACUGCGAGUGUAGAGGUGAAAUUCGUAGAUAUUCGCAAGAACACCAGUGGCGAAGGGGGCUCACUGGCCCGAUACUGACGCUGAGGCACGAAAGCGUGGGGAGCAAACAGG